CGACCGGCGCACGGGUGCGUAACGCGUAUGCAACCUACCUGUAACAGGGGGAUAACACUGAGAAAUCGGUACUAAUACCGCAUAACACUAUGAGAGGCAUCUCUUGUGGUUGAAAGUUUCGGCGGUCACAGAUGGGCAUGCGUUGUAUUAGCUGGUUGGUAAGGUAACGGCUUACCAAGGCGACGAUACAUAGGGGGACUGAGAGGUUAACCCCCCACAUUGGUACUGAGACACGGACCAAACUCCUACGGAAGGCAGCAG
rnacentral:rRNA from 1 species